CCUACGGGUGGCAGCAGUCGAGAAUCAUUCACAAUGGGGGAAACCCUGAUGGUGCGACGCCGCGUGGGGGAAUGAAGCUCUUCGGAUUGUAAACCCCUGUCAUGUGGGAGCAAAUUAAAAAGAUAGUACCACAAGAGGAAGAGACGGCUAACUCUGUGCCAGCAGCCGCGGUAAUACAGAGGUCUCAAGCGGUGUUCGGAAUCACUGGGCGUAAGGCGUGCGUAGGCUGUUUCGUAAGUCGUGUGUGAAAGGCGCGGGCUCAACCCGCGGACGGCACAUGAUACUGGGAGACUAGAGUAAUGGAGGGGGAACCGGAAUUCUCGGUGUAGCAGUGAAAUGCGUAGAGAUCGAGAGGAACACUCGUGGCGAAGGCGGGUUCCUGGACAUUAACUGACGCUGAGGCACGAAGGCCAGGGGAGCGAAAGGGAUUAGAUACCCGUGUAGUC
rnacentral:rRNA from 1 species